rnacentral:rRNA from 1 species
UACAGGGGGGGCAAGCGUUGUUCGGAAUUACUGGGCGUAAAGGGCGCGUAGGCGGCCUGCUAAGUCGAACGUGAAAUCCCCGGGCUCAACCCGGGAACUGCGUCCGAUACUGGUAGGCUUGAAUCCGGGAGAGGGAUGCGGAAUUCCAGGUGUAGCGGUGAAAUGCGUAGAUAUCUGGAGGAACACCGGUGGCGAAGGCGGCAUCCUGGACCGGCAUUGACGCUGAGGCGCGAAAGCCAGGGGAGCAAACGGG